UACGUAGGGUGCAAGCGUUGUCCGGAAUUAUUGGGCGUAAAGAGCUCGUAGGCGGUCUGUCGCGUCUGCUGUGAAAACCUGCAGCUUAACUGUGGCGUACGGUCGAUACGGGCAUCACUGGAGUUCGGCAGGGGAGACUGGAAUUCCUGGUGUAGCGGUGAAAUGCGCAGAUAUCAGGAGGAACACCGGUGGCGAAGGCGGGUCUCUGGGCCGAUACUGACGCUGAGGAGCGAAAGCGUGGGGAGCGAACAGG
rnacentral:rRNA from 1 species